AGUGAAAGUGGUAAUGCAUACUUAUGUUUGAUCUCUGCUCAAAUGCAUGUUGCUCGAAUUUGUUUCAAGUGUCUAUUCAGUUUACUUCAGCAAGACGAAUGAUAUUUUAGCUGGAAAAAAUGGAUUAGCAAAUAUAUUUUGUUGCACCUUUUAACUGAUGAUAAUAUCCCUGAAAUUACUCUGAAUGUGAAUGUAGAUUGAGAUUCUAAGGAAGAAAGGGCACUCCUACUCAGAGAUUAUCAACGAGAGUGUCAUUGAGUCUGUGGAUUCUUUGAAUCCUUUCAUGCAUGCUCGAGGCGUUUCAUUCAUGGUUGACAAUUGUUCAACAACAGCACGGCUAGGAUCGAGGAAGUGGGCCCCUCGUUUUGACUACAUUCUCACGCAGCAGGCUUUGGUAGCAGUGGAUAAAGGUGCUCCCAUUAACCAAGAUCUCAUUAGCAACUUCCUAUCAGAUCCUGUACAUGGAGCUAUUGAAGUAUGUGCCCAAUUGAGACCUACUGUGGACAUAUCAGUGCCCCCGGAUGCUGAUUUUGUCCGUCCUGAGUUGCGUCAGUCGAGCAACUGAGGUUUUGAAGUUCAAUCUCCUAAGAAGCUCUUCUCCAUGGAAUUGAGGAGAGAUUCUUCAAACCAAGCAGAGAUUUGAAGUAAUGUUUCGAGUGAGCCAGGUAUCCAGGUGUCUUAAAUUAAAGGUCCUUCGUGAUUUUCUCUAUCUCCUCUAGGAGGAUUAUGCAGUUAUAGUAGCAGAAUGGUCCUGUAUUUUAACGUAUCUUGCGUUAGUCGGGCUCUGUAUGUGUUUUGAGUUGGUAAUAUUGCAAUAAUCAGUUUUUAUUCUGAACAAUUGACUUGGAAGGUAUUAUGAGAGGGAAUAAUUCAUAUAUUUAAUUUAUGAUGUGGCGUUUUAGAGUAAGCAUCAACACGAGGACAUUUUAAGGGUGCGUUUGAUUAUCAAUAUUUUUUAUGAAAAUAUGUUUUUUUUAUCUAAAUUCCUACUUUUGUAAUGUUUGAUCGAUAUCUUGUUCAUGAAAAACAUUUUCACUUUUGGUCACGUGAUCAUAUUUUUCUUAAAAUCAAGGAAAAU
rnacentral:lncRNA from 1 species